GACGAACGCUGGCGGCGUGCCUAAUACAUGCAAGUCGUGCGGACCUUUUAAAAGCUUGCUUUUAAAAGGUUAGCGGCGGACGGGUGAGUAACACGUGGGCAACCUGCCUGUAAGACUGGGAUAACGCCGGGAAACCGGGGCUAAUACCGGAUCGUUUUUCCUCCGCAUGGAGGAAAAAGGAAAGGCGGCUUCGGCUGCCACUUACAGAUGGGCCCGCGGCGCAUUAGCUAGUUGGCGGGGUAACGGCCCACCAAGGCAACGAUGCGUAGCCGACCUGAGAGGGUGUGCGGCAACAUGGGGACGGAGCCACGCCCAAAACCCCGGGGGGGGGAAGAAGAGGGAAUUCUCCCGAAAUGGACGAAGGCGUGCGGGACAACCGCGGGGGGAGAAAAAAGGGCCUUGGGGUCGAAAACCUCUGUGGCGGGGAAAGAACAGGGGCCGUUCGAACGGGGCGGCGCCUGGGGGUACCCCGACAAGAAGGCCAGGGCAAGCUCGGGC
rnacentral:rRNA from 1 species